rnacentral:rRNA from 1 species
AAAUUGAAGAGUUUGAUCAUGGCUCAGAUUGAACGCUGGCGGCAGGCCUAACACAUGCAAGUCGAACGGUAACAGAAAGCAGCUUGCUGCUUUGCUGACGAGUGGCGGACGGGUGAGUAAUGUCUGGGAAACUGCCUGAUGGAGGGGGAUAACUACUGGAAACGGUGGCUAAUACCGCAUAACGUCGCAAGACCAAAGAGGGGGACCUUCGGGCCUCUUGCCAUCAGAUGUGCCCAGAUGGGAUUAGCUUGUUGGUGAGGUAACGGCUCACCAAGGCGACGAUCCCUAGCUGGUCUGAGAGGAUGACCAGCCACACUGGAACUGAGACACGGUCCAGACUCCUACGGGAGGCAGCAGUGGGGAAUAUUGCACAAUGGGCGCAAGCCUGAUGCAGCCAUGCCGCGUGUAUGAAGAAGGCCUUCGGGUUGUAAAGUACUUUCAGCGGGGAGGAAGGUGUUGUGGUUAAUAACCGCAGCAAUUGACGUUACCCGCAGAAGAAGCACCGGCUAACUCCGUGCCAGCAGCCGCGGUAAUACGGAGGGUGCAAGCGUUAAUCGGAAUUACUGGGCGUAAAGCGCACGCAGGCGGUCUGUCAAGUCGGAUGUGAAAUCCCCGGGCUCAACCUGGGAACUGCAUUCGAAACUGGCAGGCUUGAGUCUUGUAGAGGGGGGUAGAAUUCCAGGUGUAGCGGUGAAAUGCGUAGAGAUCUGGAGGAAUACCGGUGGCGAAGGCGGCCCCCUGGACAAAGACUGACGCUCAGGUGCGAAAGCGUGGGGAGCAAACAGGAUUAGAUACCCUGGUAGUCCACGCCGUAAACGAUGUCUACUUGGAGGUUGUGCCCUUGAGGCGUGGCUUCCGGAGCUAACGCGUUAAGUAGACCGCCUGGGGAGUACGGCCGCAAGGUUAAAACUCAAAUGAAUUGACGGGGGCCCGCACAAGCGGUGGAGCAUGUGGUUUAAUUCGAUGCAACGCGAAGAACCUUACCUGGUCUUGACAUCCACGGAAGUUUUCAGAGAUGAGAAUGUGCCUUCGGGAACCGUGAGACAGGUGCUGCAUGGCUGUCGUCAGCUCGUGUUGUGAAAUGUUGGGUUAAGUCCCGCAACGAGCGCAACCCUUAUCCUUUGUUGCCAGCGGUUAGGCCGGGAACUCAAAGGAGACUGCCAGUGAUAAACUGGAGGAAGGUGGGGAUGACGUCAAGUCAUCAUGGCCCUUACGACCAGGGCUACACACGUGCUACAAUGGCGCAUACAAAGAGAAGCGACCUCGCGAGAGCAAGCGGACCUCAUAAAGUGCGUCGUAGUCCGGAUUGGAGUCUGCAACUCGACUCCAUGAAGUCGGAAUCGCUAGUAAUCGUGGAUCAGAAUGCCACGGUGAAUACGUUCCCGGGCCUUGUACACACCGCCCGUCACACCAUGGGAGUGGGUUGCAAAAGAAGUAGGUAGCUUAACCUUCGGGAGGGCGCUUACCACUUUGUGAUUCAUGACUGGGGUGAAGUCGUAACAAGGUAACCGUAGGGGAACCUGCGGUUGGAUCACCUCCUUACCUUAAAGAA